GGAAGUAGCCCCUUGAGACUAUUUGUACUUUUUUUUUUUCAAACAGUGGGGCUCCAGAGCCUGUACAUGUUGCUGGGUGUGCAGUAAACACACAGAAAACAGUAUAUGCCCACCCUGCUCGUGAGGAGGGAGUUGCUGAGUCUACACUCUGUGCCAUCUACCAUGCAAUUCACCACAGUAAUUUCGAAUAGCUUCUUGGGUCUUGCAUCAUUUGUGAAAGUGAAGCAAACCUUCCUCUACUGUACAGAGACUGCAAGCACACCAAGGGGAGUUUCUGGACAGCUAGAGGACAUCUGAGGAGCACGGCUAAGCCUCAAACCCUCCUUAGGACUACUGUGAACCCCUAUACUUCUGCAGCUACAGUUCCCAAAUUUCUGGGCUCCAUCCCAACAAAAUGUCUAGAAAAAUUUGCUCUAUUUUUGAUCCUCGUUUUUUUUUUGUUUUGUUUUUUUUUUUUUUUCCUCAUUUCAGAACAGUGAUGGCUUUUCCAGGUAAAGCAUCUUGUUACCUUAUAAGUUUCAUUAAAUAGAUGGCCUUUGAACUAGACCUUGCAGAAUGGGUAAAAUUUAUUUUGGAAAAGAAGUGAAAGAGGGCUAUCAGAGAGUGUUUUCAUGAAUGUAUAAGCCUGGAAUCUGGAUGUCUUUGAUAAGGAGCGAUAAAAGGGUACAUUUGGGUGUGGAUUAAUUCACUUACUCAGUAUAUACAUAUAUAUAGAAACCACAAUUUGAUACAGGAAAUAUAGCAAAGGAUUAGACCUGGUCCAGCUCUCAUGAUGUUCAGAGACAGUGAUGGUUCCGGGGGCAGAGAGACGCAGUGGACAUCAAGAGGUGGGCUAAUUCAUUAUUUGAAGAAUCUUCAAUGACACACAAAGGAGUUUGAAUUUUAUCCCAUCACUACUUAUAACAGCACUUUUUUUGACACUAAUCACAUGCUGGGCAGUAUUCACUAUUUAUUAUUGUAACAACCUUAUGGUAUAGAGAGAUAUUUUACUGACAGGGAGACUGAAGCAUGGAGUAGGUACCUAACUUGGCUAAGGACUCAGAGCUAAUAAGAGGUAGAGUCAGGAUUGAGUCCAGGUAUUUUGGCUUCAGAGUCUAUAGUCUUAUCAUUUGUAAAUAUAUAAUAUGUGGCUAAAGCGAAGCUUUUUUAUAUGAAAAAAGUAAAACAAGGUUAAUGAUGUUGGGAAAAAUCAUUGGAAGAUGCAGCAGUGUGUAUCAGAGCCUGGACUAGACUCCACAAGGCUUUAGGUCCAUUGCUGCUUCUGCUCCACAUAGAGUGUGCACUAGUGUGCAAAAACUUUGUGGAUGCACUUGGAUAAAUUAAGAGAAAUAUGUUUACACUACAAGAGGUGGUAAUGCUGCAGUCCUCUUUUUUUUUUUUUUUUUUUUUCCUUUCUGCUUUUUAGGACCAAACCCAUGGCAUAUGGAAGUUUUCAGGCUAGGGAUUGAGUCGGAGCUGUAGAUGCCAGCGUACGCCACACCCAUCACCAGAUCCGAGCCAUGUGUUUGACCUACACCACAGCUCACAACAAUGCCAGAUCCUUAACCCACUGAGCAGAGCCAGGUUCAAAACUUGGAUUCAUUUCUGCAGUGCCACAAGGCUUGCUGCAUUCUUUUGUGCUGGUGAGACUAAUAGUGAGCAGUGAGAGGGUUCAGUUGUGUCUGUCUUCCUCUCCGAAUACAUCAGCUGGGGCCCAAAGUUAACAUAUCCAAAGGUAGAAAUGGUUUGUUUUUGUUGUUCCAAGCAAGGUCAAACUUGCAGAAAGGUGCGUUUGGUUGGGUGAGGAUGACCCAGCUAUCUCGAUGUCCUUUUACUAAUCACGGCAUACGAGGUGGUAGAGUCACAAAAUACCUCAUCGUCAGCUGCCUUAGAGACUAGCUUGACCUCCCCCAGGACUCGAUCUACUGUGAAAUGCAUUCAGGCACAGGGAAUAUCAGUGCAAAAACCCCAGGAUUUAUUCCUCACUAAAAGGUGGCUUGGAGGGAUGUCACACGUAGAAAGUGGACUGAUUCAUUUCCACUCCCAGCAUUGUUUCAAUCGAGCUUGGCACAAAGAUGAUCAAUGCUGACUCAGAGCUAUGUCCAGAUGGAGAGAGAGCCUUCUAAACUAUCACAUCCAACCCAGUCCUGGUCUACCACUCCCCCUCGAGUCUCUAGAAUCCUCACUGUCCUAUCUAUAGGGUGCACCCAUUCCAGAGGAUAAGACUCCACUCAUAUUUGGUCCUUUGCCUUCCCAGCAGGACCCCAAAACCCCCUCACCCUUUCGUCUAUGCAGACUGGCACAGAAGAAAUGAUUCUGAAAAAUAAACUAGCUAAUCAUUAGAUGAAAGCA
rnacentral:lncRNA from 1 species